UACGUAGGGGGCAAGCGUUAUCCGGAUUUACUGGGUGUAAAGGGAGCGUAGGUGGCAAGCCAGAAGUGAAAACCCGGGGCUUAACCCCGCGGAUUGCUUUUGGAACUGUCUGGCUGGAGUGCAGGAGGGGCAGGCGGAAUUCCUGGUGUAGCGGUGAAAUGCGUAGAUAUCAGGAGGAACACCGGUGGCGAAGGCGGCCUGCUGGACUGUAACUGACACUGAGGCUCGAAAGCGUGGGGAGCGAACAGG
rnacentral:rRNA from 1 species